GACGAACGCUGGCGGCGUGCUUAACACAUGCAAGUCGAACGGAAAGGCCCUGCUUUUGUGGGGUGCUCGAGUGGCGAACGGGUGAGUAACACGUGAGUAACCUGCCCUUGACUUUGGGAUAACUUCAGGAAACUGGGGCUAAUAACGGAUAGGAGCUCCUGCUGCAUGGUGGGGGUUGGAAAUUUUCGGCGGUUGGGGAUGGACUCGCGGCUUAUCAGCUUGUUGGUGGGGGAGUGGCUUACCAAGGCGUUGACGGGUAGCCGGCCUGAGAGGGUGACCGGCCACACUGGGACUGAGAUACGGCCCAGACUCCUACGGGAGGCAGCAGUGGGGAAUAUUGCACAAUGGGCGGAAGCCUGAUGCAGCGACGCCGCGUGCGGGAUGACGGCCUUCGGGUUGUAAACCGCUUUCGCCUGUGACGAAGCGUGAGUGACGGUAAUGGGUAAAGAAGCACCGGCUAACUACGUG
rnacentral:rRNA from 1 species